ACUCAUUAUUCGGAGGUGAAUCAUAAAACACUAAAAGUUGUGGUAUCUUAUGGACCUAACAUAGGUCAUAUCCCUCACGACAUAAGAUUGAAAGAUUUAAACCUUCCUCUUUGAAGCAGAAACGGACGUGGCCAAAACAUAUAAAGAUCGGCGUAGUCGCUCAUAGGGACAUAUCCAUCCGGAUAGAGGAUAGUCUAGAUCGAUUCAUAGAUAGAUUUCUAUCCAUAUAGAUAGGUAUCUCCGUGGAUAGAGAUAAAGAUAGGGAUCCAUCUAGGUCACUAUUUCAAUUUUUUUUCUUAAUUCUGAUUGAUUGCUUGUUUUUUGACGACAAGUUUUAAAUCUUAAUUCAGCAGGCAUGGUGAAAUAAAUUUCAAUUAUUACUUGCUGGGUCGGAGGGUAGAUGAGCGAGCAGAGCCCAAGAAACAGGGAAGCCCAUCAUAGAGCAGUAGAAGACUGAUGGCCUAAGAGAAAGCGGCCUCUCUCGGGAAACAUGGCAAAAAUUUUCUUCUUUCUUUUUGAUUUCGGGUUUCUUUAUUUUUUCAUGGGCCCAGAAUGCUAAAGGGGAGAAGCAAACCGAACCUCUAAUCGACCUGGACACAUAAAAAAUUCUCGGCAUCGAGAGAGAUUUGAGAUUCCGUAAGUAACUCAGUGAGUGCUUUCUAAGAAGGGA